UCGAAAUGUAGGUCGUUGGGGGUUUUUUAGUUCAACUUUCGUCUAGUAACGAAAUAUCGGCACUUUCCAAUUUUGCCCCCCGCGUCGCUCCACUCGCUCGCUCACCGCCCAGCCGCACUGCCCGCGCUCACUCUCUCCCACUCGCCCAGCCGCACUAGCCGGCCUCCCCGUCGCUCGCCGGCCUCCCCCCUCUCCCCGUAGCUCGCCGGCCUCCUCGUUGCUCGCCGGCCUCCCCGUCUCCCCGUAGCUCACCGGCCUCUCCCUCUUCCACCGCCACUUCUCCACCACCCCGCCUCCACUCACACCCCGGAGGUAAACAAAUUCCAAUCUUUUGCGCCGGCGACGAGCUUCUACUCCACGGAGGCGUGGAUGUGCAUGUGCUAGCGCUGGAUCUGGGCGACAGAGGCAUGGAUGUGGAGCGGCACCCGAGCGGCGGAUCUGGAGCGGUGCCGGAGCGGCGGAGCGGCGGAUCUGGAGCGACGUCGUUGUCGUCGUGGAGUAGCUGCUUCCUCCCGCGUGAAACUGGAGAACGAGAGGGAGGGGCAGAUGAUGGCCGCCAUCAUGGAUUUGAAUCUUCUGUUCUUACAUUGCUGUAGUACUGGCUGCAGUCUUGCUGUACAAUCACUUGAGGAAUUCAAGGCCUGAUGCGUCCUUCUGGGAGCCAUGGCUACUUCUUCCUGUGCCCUGCGUCAGGAGAAGGAGCACGCCCAGGAGAAGAAGGAUCGGGAGAAGGCCCUGAGGACCUGGGAUCGCUGCUGCUAGAUCUGGAUCUGGGACCUGGGACUGCUGCUGCCGCGUGCUCCUUCUGGGAGACGAGGACCUUCCUUGGCGCCCCUGGAUCGCUGCUGCUGGACGCCCCUGGAUCGCUGCUGCUGGAGACGAGGACCUGGGCCUGGGAGCGCUGAGGAGAAGUAGGGGACCUGGGCCUGGGAGCGCCUGGGACCUGGGCGCGUGGAGGAGAAGCAGGGGCGGGCGGGCGGACGAUGGCCUGGCGGAGAAUUUCAAAUCCUCGGAUGGAGGAAGAAGACGAUGGGGAUACCGAUUCAUACUAGGGGCAGCGAUGUAAAUUCCACCGUUUUCACCUGGUCGGAACCAAUCCUCCAGCGACCUAUAUUUCGGAACGGAGGGAGUAUAUUUUUCUAGCUAUGAUUAAGGAACCACAUAGUUUUAUCGACUUCAUUGUCCAACCAUCCAACUUAUAUACUUUACAUGUUGUGGUUUAGGUAUCAUGUACCCGGAGUGUCAUUUUUUUUUGUAUGUUUAAUUGUCCCAUGCUUCUGUUCAAGUUCUUUAACUAAUAUUAUUUUCUCAUUUAAAUACAAAUUGCACAUGCUUCUGUUCAAUUUAUUUUAACUAAUGUUAUUUUCUCAUUUAAAUGGACGGAUGUAGCAACGCGCGCCUUUCUGUUUUAGUGGGAGAGAUGGAGUUGGAGGACGUGGUGCUCUCCUGGUCGGCGCAGGAGAUCGCCGACGACGACCUCUACAGGGACAAGGUUGAGACUAUUCCCUGCAACUUCAAGUCACUUGAUCACUAUCUCACGUCUUAUCGUGUGCCUCUGAUUGAAGAAACAAGGUCAGAUCUGUGCUCAUGCCUUGAACUCAUCAGUGAAGCACCCUCGUCGAAAAUACUGUCCAUGGAGGCAGCAGGAAAACCAGGAUCAUACUUUAUGGAUGUGAACUUUUGGGACAAUGAUGCUGGUUUUUCUACCGGGGCUUAUUCUGCGAGGAAUGGUGACAUAUUUAUUUUGUCGAGCAUAAAACCUGAAGCUGCAGAAGACUUAAACCGCUAUGGUGUGACAUAUUGCUUGGCAAUGAUCACUGAGGUUUAUAUGGAUGAUGAAUACCAUAAGGGCUUCAGGGUCAAAGUUGCAAAGAAUAUUGGUUCGGAAGAAGAAGACUUAAACAAACUCAAACAUGCAAUAUUUCUCAAUAAUAUCACGACCAACAUACGGAUAUGGAAAGCACUUAUCUUUGAUACGCACAUGAAUGGCAAUUUCACAGUAAUCAAGUCGCUCCUAGCCCCCACAAAUCUGGGUGAGGAUGUUUGCCGUAUCUGUGUUAAUCAGAAUGGGGGCUGUUUAGCUUCUUUCACAGAGCAACUACUGUCAGUUAAGCUUAAUCGAUCGCAAGUGGAUGCUAUUGAAUCUGUCAUCUCAGCUGUACAAUGUGGGCAUGUGAACCUCAUGAAGCUUAUAUGGGGUCCACCAGGUACUGGGAAGACCAAGACGGUUAGCACUUUACUGUGGGUUUUGGCGAGUUUGAAAUGCAGAACUCUUACUUGUGCUCCCACAAAUGUUGCUGUUGUUGGAGUUUGCACCCGUUUCCUUCAAACCUUUUAGGAUUUCAAUGAGCACAUUGACAAAAUUUGUCUACCUUCAUCUCUUGGAGAUAUCUUGCUAUUUGGAAGCAGGUCUAACAUGGACAUCACCGAGGAUCUUCAGGAAGUUUUCUUGGACUUCCGUGUCGAUGAACUUGUGGAGUGCUUUUCAUCAUUGUCUGGAUGGAACUACAGAAUAGCUUCAAUGAUAUCCUUUUUUGAAGACUGUGCUUCAUGCUAUGAUAUGCUUCUUGAGGAUGAUGGCAAAAUUGAUCCAGUGUGCUUUCUGGACUUCAUAAAGAAACAAUUUGAUGCAACAGCAAUAGCUCUGAAAAGAUGCAUAAUGAAUUUGUGGGUUCACCUUCCUGGAAGCUGCUUUUCUCGUGAUAGGUCAUAAUUAUAUCCUCAUUGCUUAAUAUGCUUGAAAAAUUUGGCACCCUUCUCUGCGACGUAGACUGGACUGAUGAGGGUUUGAAAAGGGUCCUUGGUUGUCCGUUAACUGAAAACUCUGUUUGUGCACAGCCUGUAUCUUCUAUUGAGAAGGAACUGGACGGAGCAAGGUCUUCAUGCCUUAAAUUGCUUAAAGAUCUGCUACACUCGCUUAAUUUACCCACUGGAGUAGGCAAAGACUGGGUCCAGAGCUACUGCAUACGUAAUGCUACACUUCUUUUCUGUACCACCUCUAGCUCUUAUCGGUUACAUCACAUGGAUAUUGCACCACUCGAUGUAUUAAUUGUUGAUGAGGCUGCUCAAGUGCGGGAGUGUGAAUUGGUGAUCCCACUACGUCUGCAUUGGUUAAAACAUGUUGUUUUGGUAGGAGAUGACUGUCAGCUGAGUGCAAUGGUUAAAAGCAAAGUAUGCAAAGAAGCUGGAUUUGAGACAAGUCUGUUUGGGAGAUUGGUUAUGCUCAAAUUUGAUAAACAUUUGCUGAAUAUACAGUAUCGCAUGAAUCCUUGUAUCAGCUUAUUUCCAAAUGCUCAAUUUUAUGAGAGGAAGAUUUUAGAUGGUUCCAAUGUCCUGUCUCCUAGUUAUAAUAAGGAUUACACAUGCCUCCCUUUUGGCAGCUACACGUUUAUAAAUGUUACUGAUGGAAGGGAGGACAAAGAGGGCAAAGGAAACAGUCACAGAAACAUGGUUGAAGUUGCUGUUGUCUUGCACCUAAUCCAUACCAUCUUUAAAUCUUGGAAAAACAGAAACCAAGGGCUCAGCAUCGGCGUGGUCUCUCCAUAUAAAGCUCAAGUUGAUGCAAUUAAAAGUCGACUUGGAGAAAAAUAUGAUACGUGUGAUGGCUUUCAUGUGCGGGUGAAAUCCACCGAUGGUUUCCAAGGAGAAGAGGAUGAUAUAAUAAUACUAUCAACUGUUAGAUCCAAUGGGAGAGGAGUUGUUGGAUUUCUUGCUGAUAACCGAAGAACAAAUGUUGCUCUUACUAGAGCAAGGCACUGUCUUUGGAUUGUUGGGAAUGCUCAUACGCUGUAUAAAAGUGGGACCAAAUGGACAGAACUUGUUGCUGAUGCAGAGAGACGUAAAUGUGUUUUCAGUGCCACUAAUGACGCAACCAUCUGUAAGUUAGUUCUGCAAGUAAAGCAAGAGCUUGAUGAACUUGACGAUCUUCUUAAUGCUGAUUCAGCGGUUUUCAGCAAUACCAGAUGGAAGGUCAUUGUUAGCGACAAGUUUAGAAAGUCCUUCACGAAACUAAAAUCACCACAGCUCAGGAAGGAAGUACUCCAAAAGCUUAUCAGACUUGGAGAUGGUUGGAGGACAACCGUUAAGAACCUUGAUAUACCUGGUGUUUCUCAUCUUGCAAAGGUAUACAAGGUCUGGAACCUGUAUCUUGUUUGGAGUAUUGAUGUGGAGAAAACCGAAGGACGGUAUUUUCAGAUAAUAAGGGUUUGGGACCUACUGUCACAGCAAAAUGUUGCAAGAACUGUUCAACGUCUUGAGAAUCUGUUUUCCAUGUACACGGAUGAUUACCUGGAUCAUUGCAGGAGAGUGCAGACACAGGGGUAUGUGUUUCUUUUAUUUUGAUGGGCUAUACUCUCGAUCCAUGGAUUUUUAUACCUCUAAUACUUAGAGAUGAACUGUUUGUUAACAUGCAGCCAACAAACGAACUGCAUGUAGACAUUCUUCUAAUACUUCCUCUCCUUUUUGGCUGUCAUAAAAUCCUUUAUACUCAUGAUUUACUUGGAGAGUGGUAUGGACACUUGGAGCAUGGUGUCAUGGGUCUCUCUGGUUCCUUGGAUCACAUUCCCGCUCACUAGUUUUAUACUUGGGAGGUCAGGCACCGGAAAAACCACUGUAUUGACAAUGAAGCUGUUUCAAAAAGAGCAACAGUCACUGAUUGCAUCCCAAGGUCUACAUUUGGAUGGAGAUGAUUUAGCAGGGCUGGAUCACAAAAAUAUUAUGCCACUGAAGGACGCAGGAGAAAGUUUUGUGAAACAAGUGUUUAUCACUGAAGUUACCUAUGAAAAAUUUGCUACUUUCUACUGGCCUCGUUUUAAGGCAGACCUAACAAAGAAAUUUGCUGCAUCUACUGUCUUCACUGAAAUAAUUUCUCAUAUAAAGGGUGCAUAUCAAACAAGCAGGCCUUAUGCUGGCAAACUGGGAAGAGAGGAUUAUGUGAUGCUUUCAGAUAAAAGAUUUUCAUCUUUGAACAAUGAGAAGAGAGAUAGAAUUUAUGAUAUAUUCCUUGAAUAUGAGAGUAUGAAAGGCACUGCCAAGGAGUUUGAUUUGUCAGAUUUCGUCAAUAGUCUUCACAGCAGUCUUGUAUCUGAGGGCUACCACGGCGAUAUGGUGGAUUUUGUUUACAUAGAUGAGGUACAGGAUCUCACCAUGACACAAAUAGCACUUCUUAAGUAUGUCUGUAUGAACAUCAAGGAAGGCUUCCUUUUUGCUGGUGAUACUGCACAGACUAUAGCAAGGGGUAUCGAUUUCAGGUUUGAAGAUAUCCGUUCACUGUUUUAUACUGCAUUCCUCGCAGAAACUGAAGCAUCUAAUCAAGGACUUAAACAUGGGAAAAAAGUCCAUCUCUCUGAUAUGUUCCAACUGUCUCAGAAUUUCCGCACACAUUGUGGCAUCCUCCGUAUGGCACAAAGUAUCAUGAGCCUUCUGUACUUCUUUUUCCCGUCAAGUGUUGACAAGCUCAAUCCAGAGACUGGACUUGUAUAUGGAGAAGCUCCUGUGCUGCUGGAGUCUGAUAACGAUGAAAAUGCAAUUAUGACUAUUUUUGGAGAAAGCAAAACUACACAUGGUAACCUGCAUGGGUUUGGUGCUGAGCAAGUCAUAUUAGUUCGUGAUGAUGCUGCCAAAAAACAAAUUAUUGAUCUUGUUGGUAAACAAGCUCUUGUUUUGACUAUUGUUGAAUGUAAGGGCCUUGAGUUUCAGGAUGUGCUGUUGUACAACUUUUUUGGUUCGUCGCCUUUAAGAAACAAAUGGAGAGUUCUCUAUGGCUACAUGAAAGAUAAAGAUAUUAUAGCACACUCCGAGGAGAUCUCUCAUCCCGGUUUCGACAGAAGCAAGCAUUAUCUUCUCUGUUCAGAGCUGAAGCAACUAUAUGUUGCAAUCACACGCACUAGGCAAAGACUCUGGAUAUGUGAAAAUACAGAGAAUUACUGUCGACCAAUGUUUGACUACUGGAAGAAGUUGUGCCUUGUAGAAGUUAGAUUAUUAGAUUCUUCCCUCAUUCAGGCAAUGCAGACAGGGAGCAGCAGUGAUGAUUGGAGGAUACAGGGAACCAAGUUAUUCAAUGAGGGGCAAUUCGAGAUGGCUACUAUGUGCUUCGAAAAGGCCGGUGAUGCACACAGAGAGAAGUUGGCAAGAGCUGCUGGACUUGUAGCGACUGCUAACCGUGUCAUCUCAACAAAUUUGGAGUUGGGCAAGGCUUCGUUGCAAACAGCAUCAGAGAUUUACGAGUCCAUAGGCAUGCAUGAGAAAGCUGCUAUAUGCUAUAUCAAAUUAGGUGACUACAAAAAAGCAGGUAUGGUCUAUAUGCAAAAAUGUGGUACUUCUAAACUUGAGGAUGCUGGUGAUUGUUUUGCUAUGGCUGAAUGCUGGUCGGAGGCAGCUGAAGUGUUCUUGAAAGCUAAAUGUUACACAAAGUGUUUCUCCAUGUGCUCGAAAGGGAAAAAUUUGUUCAAUCUGGGCUUGCAGUUUCUGCAACAGUUAGAAGAGGAACAUUCGCUUGAGAAUUCAAAAUCCUUGGCGGUUUCUGCAAUUAGAACAAACUAUCUGGAUAAUUGUGCUCAACAUUAUUUUGAGCGUGGUGACAUAAAGCAGAUGAUGCCUUUUGUUAAAGCUUUCAGCUCUAUGGAUCAUGUACGGGCAUUCCUAAAUUCUAGGAAUCUUGUUGAUGAACUGUGGAGUUUGGAGAUGGAGAUGGGUAAUUUCCUAGAAGCUGCAGGAAUAGCAAAGCAUAAUGGAGAUGUCUUACUGGAGGUAGACAUGCUCGAGAAGGCAGGCUUAUUUGAGGAUGCGACACGGCUUCUCCUCCUCCAUAUCAUUGUGGAUUCCUUCUGGUCCUCAAAUAGCAGAGGGUGGCCUCCCAAAAGAUAUGCAGAGAAGGAACAAUUGCUUUCAAGAGCCAAAGAGAUGGCGGAAAAGGUAUCUGAGUGCUUCUACUGCUUUGUUUGCGUGGAAGCUGAUGCACUGUCAGAUGUGAAUAAGUCUCUUCCCAGUUUAAAUUGCACUUUGGUUGAGGGCAGAAAAUGUGCAAACUUGUUAGUUGAACUUGUUGCUUCCCGUUCGAUUCUUGAUGUUCAUCUUCAGUCUCGAGCCUCUGGAUACAAUAUAGAAUUAGGGCCAGGAUCUGAAGAUGAAAAUGGUUGUAGUAACAUGCUUGCAUCUAACCAGAUGUCACCCCAAACUCUGUUUUAUGUCUGGAAUCACUGGAAGUCGAUCAUAAUCAAAGUACUAUCUCAUCUUCGCCACACCGAUGGUCCAGAAUUAAAUGAUUAUGCAGUUAUGUAUGAAGAUCUUUGUGCCAAGUACUUUGGAUUGCGGAAGGAUGGUGAAGUUGACAGAUAUGUGGUGCUUAACGUGAAUGCAAGUUGGCUCUCUACUACUGGCAGAAAUUCUUUGCAGCAAGAUGGCAACAGAUGUUUCUUGGGUGCCCUACAGUGUCAUUCAUGUGCUCAGUGUUUCUGGAUGAAUGAGCUGUCUUCUGUUGGUUUCAGUGUACUUAAGAAGUUGGAGUCCAUUGUUCAAAUUUCUCCAAAGCCAUCAUCUUCUUAUACCCUGGUGAGAACUAUCCUUAUGAUAAAUGAGAUAGCAAAGUUUUUGGAAGAACCACAGUUCAGUAUGCCAAAAAACACGAAGUUAAGAAGCUUUUUUAUUCUCUGUGAGCGUCGUUUCUUUGAGUUAGUUUUUCUUGUGUGGAGAGACGGGACAAGAAGGAGCCUCUUGCAUCUACUUGACUCACCAGCUGCAUAUGGAUUGAUUGCUGAUUCUCUUAGUGCAAAUCUACGCCCAGCAAAUAAAAAUUUGACUCAUGGGCAUCUUGGGAGAACAACCAUGCUCCUGCUUCACGCAGCACAAUUGGACGAAGAGCUACUUUCAAGACUACUGCAGUACCUGGACAAUAAUUCUGAGUGGGCAGAAUUUUUUCGAUAUUUCAAGAGAUUUCUUGACAGCGGUGGUGAUAGAUCCUCCUUGAUCUUGAACUUUAAGCUUGCUUUUGACUUUACCUUCAAUGUAAAGUGGAAGGAUGAACUAGACUACAUAUCCCCAAUAUGCUAUGUGGGUCUUAUGGAAUGCCUUGGUUUUAUGGCUUCAUCAUACUUGAUACAGAAUGAUUUUAUAUGCUGCACGAAAUCUCUGCUGGUCAAUAUGCUGGAGUGCCAUACCAGCAAGGCUUACAUUGACACCUGCCUGGUAUCUAAAUCGAGCCCAGAUUCAGAUCUUGAUCGUUUGGCAUACUCAUCAGGCCGUUUCAUAUAUCAGACAAUUAUGACUAUCUUGACGACCAAGCAUAUGCUCCAGGAAUGGGUACAUAAGACUUCAAGUCCUAGUACUUCAUACAAACCAGUCCUCCUGAGACUAGUUGUUACACUUUAUCCUCUGAUCCUUACUCUUUCUCUGGGGAAUUUCUAUGAGGUCACACAUAACCUUCUGAGGAAUGAAGUGUUUAAGGAUUUACCUGUGGAGUUCUCUCAGAAGAUUGUACAUGCUUUGCAAAUGAAGUCCCGCACACCGAGCAACUUCACAAGAAUGCUUGCUGAUGCACUCGCCGCAAUCAGAGAUAAUAUGGUAGUUAUUGGUUCACCCAAGGGCCCAGUAAUCUGUCGAAACUUAAAUGCUUAUAUGAUUAGCAAAGAGGAUUUGCAUGAUGUUCCGAAGAUAAUGGCUCUUCUGUGUCCUGAAGAACGAAGUUCUGUACAAGAGACUCUGUUGCCUGAAAAAUCUGAUGGUGAUAAGUCUGGCGAUGUUAUUUCUGGAAACAUUCCUAAGGCUGUACAAGAUAAUGAGAUGGAGCAUAGGAGUAAGAUAGAUAUUGUUGAGAUACUCUUUGAGAAGCUUGAGAUUUUAAAAGCCGACAAGGAUGGCCUGAAAGAUCCAAGGCGUGUUAUUGAAUACCUUAUAAGUGCCCUUCCAUGGCUGGAAGGUGGCCGUCUAGCAGCGAUUGAUAAACGAUUGCUGGAAGACGUCAGGCGCAUCUGCAGUGAGUUCGAAAAUGGUUCCGACAGGGCGCAGAGAAAUGCUUGUCUUGCUGUGGAGAAGCUGUGGAAGGGUGAGAAGAAACUGCCGAUGAUCUUCCGCAUGGUGACUGAUGCAAGGCUAUGCAAGAUUGAAAAUCAAGCGACAUUCCAACGCAUGGAUGACAGGAGCAACGACGCUGCAAUGGCUGCUGUAGAGACGCACGCUGACGCCGACGGUUGCUCAGAUGACGAUGAUAAACCUGACACGGGAGAAGCUGCGGCCUCGACUUCCAAAAAGGGGGCGCAGAAGCAGAAGAGCAAGAAGAAAUCCAAGAAGUCCAAGGGCCGGGGCAAGAAGUGAGCUGCUGUAGCUGUGGCCCGUAGGCGCUGCGGUUUCCCUGUAACGAAACAUUUACCUGCAUUGGAGAAAAACCUGUAUAUCCGAGUAGGGCGUUUUGGUGCCCAGGCUCAUCUGCACCCGGUUAGAAAAAAAUUCAUAAAAAAUUCAAAACAAAUUCAAAAAAUUCCAAAUA